rnacentral:rRNA from 1 species
UACGGAGGGUGCGAGCGUUGUUCGGAAUCACUGGGCGUAAAGGGCGUGUAGGCGGUCCGCUAAGUCUGAUGUGAAAGCCCGGGGCUCACCCCCGGAAGGGCAUUGGAAACUGGCGAACUCGAGUCUCGGAGAGGAAGGUGGAAUUCCUGGUGUAGCGGUGAAAUGCGUAGAUAUCAGGAGGAAUACCGGUGGCGAAGGCGGCCUUCUGGACGAUGACUGACGCUGAGACGCGAAAGCGUGGGGAGCAAACAGG